CGAACGUUGGCGAUGCGUCUUAAGCAUGCAAGUCGAGCGGGCUUAUUCGGGCAACUGGAUAAGUUAGCGGCGAACUGGUGAGUAACACGUAGGUAAUCUGCCGUGAAGUGGGGGAUAACCCAUGGAAACAUGGACUAAUACCGCAUAUACUCUUGCUACAUAAGUAGAGUAGAGGAAAGUUUUUUCGCUUCACGAUGAGCCUGCGGCCUAUUAGCCUGUUGGUAGGGUAAUGGCCUACCAAAGCUACGAUAGGUAGCCGACCUGAGAGGGUGACCGGCCACAUUGGGACUGAGAU
rnacentral:rRNA from 1 species